ACAGGAAAUCUAACAGGAGGUGUAAGAUGACACGGAUUGGUUUCUGUGUUCUUCUUGCUCUCUGCCUUAACUUUUUGAUGGAAACAGAAGCAGACCGACUGAGCCUAGAACUGCUGUCAAAGCAUGUAAUAAGUGUCAACAACCGAGUGCGCUCUGUUGUGGCUUGGGCAAUAGAAAAUGUUGUUCUACAGCGGUUAAACCCGGGUUCUGUAGACUGAAUGGAACACCAGGUGGCAAAUGUCCCGACACGUGUAAGAAAGACCAAGAUUGUGAAGGACGAAAGAAAUGCUGUGGCGGUUGUGGAAUGACGUGUAUAGACCCAAGAGACUGAACUUUCGAAUUCAAUAUAUUUUUU